UUAAACUGAAGAGUUUGAUCAUGGCUCAGAUUGAACGCUGGCGGCAGGCUUAACACAUGCAAGUCGAGCGGUAACA
rnacentral:rRNA from 1 species